rnacentral:rRNA from 1 species
CCUACGGGGGACAGCAGUGAGGAAUAUUGGUCAAUGGCCGUAAGGCUGAACCAGCCAAGUCGCGUGAAGGAAGAAGGAUCUAUGGUUUGUAAACUUCUUUUAUAGGGGAAUAAAGGGAGCCACGUGUGGAUAUUUGCAUGUACCCUAUGAAUAAGCAUCGGCUAACUCCGUGCCAGCAGCCGCGGUAAGACGGAGGAGGCGAGCGUUAUCCGGAUUUAUUGGGUUUAAAGGGUGCGUAGGUUGUUUUUUAAGUCAGCGGUGAAAGUUUGUGGCUCAACCAUAAAAUGGCCGUUGAAACUUGCAGACUUGAGUGUGUUUGAGGUCGGCGGACUGCGUUGUGUAGCGGU